rnacentral:rRNA from 1 species
GUACACGCUGUGACUAGCAUAUCAAUAAGCGGAGGAAAAGAAACUAACAAGGAUUCCCCUAGUAACGGCGAGUGAAGCGGGAAGAGCUCAAAUUUGAAAUCUUAAAGGGUUUCCCUUUACGAAUUGUAGUUUAAGGAAGUGUUUUCUGUUGAGGUUUUGGUAAAAGUUCUUUGGAAUAGGACAUCAUAGAGGGUGAGAAUCCCGUAUUUGACCUUUACUUUCAACUUUGUGAUACACUUUCAAAGAGUCGGAUUGUUUGGGAAUGCAGUCCAAAAUGGGUGGUAAAUUUCAUCUAAAGCUAAAUAUUGGCGAGAGACCGAUAGCGAACAAGUACCGUGAGGGAAAGAUGAAAAGAACUUUGAAAAGAGAGUUAAACAGUACGUGAAAUUGUCAAAAGGGAAGCGUUUGACACCAGUGUUGUUUUUCUGAAAAUCAAUUAAAGAACUGUUUAUGCUAAGCUGUUUAGACUUUAUCAGCUAACUGUUUAGUUUUGAGCUUUUCUUUAAUGCACUUUUCAGUUAACAAGUCAACAUCAAUUUCUUUUGCUGUAAAAAAGCUUGAGGAAGGUGGCUUGAGAUUCGUCUUAAGUGUUUAUAGCCUCUUGCCUAUGCAGUCGGAGAGAUUGAGGUCUGCAGCGUAGAUCCUUCGGGGCUAAAUGCAUUUGUGCUAAGUUAUAGCAUUUUAUAGACAACUUGUUGACUAUGAUUUGUCUUGUAGCUUACUCGCUUAUGUUAUUUUACCUACGCUUAGGAUGUUGAAGAUGUAGCACAUCAU